ensembl:lincRNA
GGAAGAACUCCACAAAACAAAAUAUACAUGGAAAAAUUGCUCCCUUGUUUCAAAAUAUUUACAGCUGAACAUCUCCAGGCCACCCAAAGUGUGGCGGUCAGUGGUCCAUGCAGAGCCGGCUGCAUGGUGAGAGGGCCGGUGGGGAGGGCCGUGGGGUGCGGCGCGGGGGUCCUGGAAGAGGGAGCCGGCUUCUCGCCUGCCCUCCCGGUUAGUGUUGGCUCCGGGGACGUGGCCAUGAGAACGGUUUCCACUGAAGCCGUCCUCCACGGAAACCACAGAGACUAGGUAACCUUUCCUCUGUCGAGGUAGAAAAAAGCACGCUUGUGUGAGCGUGUAGGGGAAGGGCAGGGAAUGUGGACAGAGAGGGAGGGGUGGUGUAAUAACUCUUUAGUCAUAAGACUUGCCAGUUGGUAGUUACUAGUAUUCCAGACACUUCCUAAUGCCAGACAAAUGCCCCAAGCCUCGGCAUGUCUGGCUCGGAGAUCUAUUCAUCCGAUAGCAGCCCGGCUCUUGCGGGAGACAGAUCUCUGGGCAGCCGCGCUCCGCCGCUAAUCAAACACAACAUUGUUCUCCGCGGGAAGAAUGGGAAGGUUUGUUUCAGAGUCACAACUUUUUUUUUUUUUUCUUUUCUAAGAGGCACCCUAGUUGUUUUAACAAGUUGCUACAAAACUUGGUCUUCCUGAGGUGAGGCUGUGGCGCACAGUGCCUGCACUGUACCAAAAUCCAGGGAGGGAGGGGUCAGAGUUAGUCAUUAAAAAGGGAAGAAAAAAAAAAAGCCCCAGGCACUUCAUGCCUGGAAAUGAUGUAACAGGCAGCCACUCCUCUGUUAGAACUACAACCAAACAAUGCUCAGGCAGUCCACGGCAGCUGCUCUCCAAAUGUCAGCGCCAGCCCCGUCCAAAGAGCUUGAAAGGCAGCAAGCUGGAGGGUUUUGUGCUGUACCUUUCUCGCCCACAUUUUCCCCAAGCCCUCCCAGGAACCUGGCAACAGGAGCCUGCUUCACUGCUGGAUACACUUGGAGCAAGGGUUGAAGACACUGAACAGAAGCUGUCACUCCAAACGACAGGUCUGCCCACAGGAGAGUCUCGGGCUUUGGAGAGUCUGAGUAACUGGGCUCCUGCUCACUUUUCAGAAGGGCCUUGGAACUCUGCAUCCUGACUGCUUCUACUCUUCAUUAUUAAAACCAUCAAGUUCACGGGAAAGUUAAAGGGACUUAGAAAAUAAAACAGCCUCCAUAAUGGAUUCCUGCCCAGGCAAGUCCAGACAUUUAAAGGAAUAGUCUUGCUGUUGUUUGCUAUCAUAUGGAGAGAUGUUAAGCUUUCCUUUUUAUAUUGGAAAUGAAAAAGUAAAGAAAUCUGCACAUGCCGACCAUCCCUGAUAGUGGUCAUUUCACGAAAGCCCAUGAGACAGACACAACCUUCCUGAAGUUGCCAGCAAGCACAUCCUUAUCCCUUCCUUAGUGUUGGGGCCCUGCCACCGCUCUGCAUCUUGCUGGGAAGAGAGGUGGCCCCAGUUCUUGCAACUCCUCCCCCAAAAUCCCGUGCCUGAACCGCACUAAAAGAAGUCCCUGUUUUUUCGCUGGGUGCCUUAAACUUACUUAUGUUAUGGAGUCUGGGUCUAGAGAACCUGCUCCAUUAAGUGGAAGGGCUACAGAAAUUCAC